rnacentral:rRNA from 1 species
GUCCGAUCUGCGAAGUCAAGCUA